GAAACGACUGCUAAGACUGGAUAGGAGACAAGAAGGCAUCUUCUUGUUUUUAAAAGACCUAGCAAUAGGUAUGCUUAGGGAGGAGCUUGCGUCACAUUAGUUAGUUGGUGGGGUAAAGGCCUACCAAGACUAUGAUGUGUAGCCGGGCUGAGAGGUUGAACGGCCACAUUGGGACUGAGACACGGCCCAAACCCCUACGGGAGGCAGCAGUAGGGAAUUUUCGGCAAUGGAGGAAACUCUGACCGAGCAACGCCGCGUGAACGAUGAAGUAUUUCGGUACGUAAAGUUCUUUUAUUAGGGAAGAAUAAAUGAUGGAAAAAUCAUUCUGACGGUACCUAAUGAAUAAGCCCCGGCUAACUAUGUGCCAGCAGCCGCGGUAAUACAUAGGGGGCAAGCGUUAUCCGGAAUUAUUGGGCGUAAAGGGUGCGUAGGCGGUUAAAUAAGUUUAUGGUCUAAGUGCAAUGCUCAACAUUGUGAUGCUAUAAAAACUGUUUAGCUAGAGUAAGAUAGAGGCAAGUGGAAUUCCAUGUGUAGUGGUAAAAUGCGUAAAUAUAUGGAGGAACACCAGUAGCGAAGGCGGCUUGCUGGGUCUUUACUGACGCUGAGGCGCGAAAGCGUGGGGAGCAAACAGGAUUAGAUACCCUGGUAGUCCACGCCGUAAACGAUGAGUACUAAACGUUGGGUAAAACCAGUGUUGAAGUUAACACAUUAAGUACUCCGCCUGAGUAGUACGUACGCAAGUAUGAAACUUAAAGGAAUUGACGGGACUCCGCACAAGCGGUGGAUCAUGUUGUUUAAUUCGAAGGUACCCGAAAAACCUCACCAGGUCUUGACAUGCUUCUGCAAAGCUGUAGAAACACAGUGGAGGUUAUCAGUUGCACAGGUGGUGCAUGGUUGUCGUCAGCUCGUGUCGUGAGAUGUUGGGUUAAGUCCCGCAACGAGCGCAACCCUUAUUGUUAGUUACCAGCACGUAAUGGUGGGGACUUUAGCAAGACUGCCAGUGAUAAAUUGGAGGAAGGUGGGGACGACGUCAAAUCAUCAUGCCCCUUAUGACCUGGGCUACAAACGUGAUACAAUGGCUGUUACAAAGGGUAGCUGAAGCGCAAGUUUUUGGCGAAUCUCAAAAAAACAGUCUCAGUUCGGAUUGAAGUCUGCAACUCGACUUCAUGAAGUUGGAAUCGCUAGUAAUCGCGAAUCAGCAUGUCGCGGUGAAUACGUUCACGGGGUUUGUACACACCGCCCGUCA
rnacentral:rRNA from 1 species